GACGAACGCUGGCGGCGUGCUUAACACAUGCAAGUCGAACGAUGAAGCCUAGCUUGCUAGGUGGAUUAGUGGCGAACGGGUGAGUAAUACGUGAGUAACCUACCUUUAACUCUGGGAUAAGCCUGGGAAACUGGGUCUAAUACCGGAUACGACCAGUCUCCGCAUGGGGUGUUGGUGGAAAGCGUUAUGUAGUGGUUAUAGAUGGGCUCACGGCCUAUCUGCUUGUUGGUGAGGUAACGGCUCACCAAGGCGACGACGGGUAGCCGGCCUGAGAGGGUGACCGGCCACACUGGGACUGAGACACGGCCCAGACUCCUACGGGAGGCAGCAGUGGGGAAUAUUGCACAAUGGGCGCAAGCCUGAUGCAGCGACGCCGCGUGAGGGAUGACGGCCUUCGGGUUGUAAACCUCUGUUAGCAGGGAAGAAGAGAGAUUGACGGUACCUGCAGAGAAAGCGCCGGCUAACUACGUGCCAGCAGCCGCGGUAAUACGUAGGGCGCGAGCGUUGUCCGGAAUUAUUGGGCGUAAAGAGCUUGUAGGCGGUUUGUCGCGUCUGCUGUGAAAGGCCCGGAGCUUAACUCCGUGUAUUGCAGUGGGUACGGGCAGACUAGAGUGCAGUAGGGGAGACUGGAAUUCCUGGUGUAGCGGUGGAAUGCGCAGAUAUCAGGAGGAACACCGAUGGCGCAAGGCAGGUCUCUGGGGCUGUAACUGACGCUGAGAAGCGAAAGCAUGGGGAGCGAACAGGAUUAGAUACCCUGGUAGUCCAUGCCGUAAACGUUGGGCACUAGGUGUGGGGAACAUUCCACGUUUUCCGCGCCGUAGCUAACGCAUUAAGUGCCCCGCCUGGGGAGUACGGCCGCAAGGCUAAAACUCAAAGAAAUUGACGGGGGCCCGCACAAGCGGCGGAGCAUGCGGAUUAAUUCGAUGCAACGCGAAGAACCUUACCAAGGCUUGACAUAUACUGGACCGCAUCAGAGAUGGUGUUUCCCUUCGGGGCUGGUAUACAGGUGGUGCAUGGUUAUCGUCAGCUCGUGUCGUGAGAUGUUGGGUUAAGUCCCGCAACGAGCGCAACCCUCGUUCUAUGUUGCCAGCACGUUAUGGUGGGGACUCAUAGGAGACUGCCGGGGUCAACUCGGAGGAAGGUGGGGAUGACGUCAAAUCAUCAUGCCCCUUAUGUCUUGGGCUUCACGCAUGCUACAAUGGCCGGUACAGAGGGUUGCGAUACUGUGAGGUGGAGCUAAUCCCUAAAAGCCGGUCUCAGUUCGGAUUGGGGUCUGCAACUCGACCCCAUGAAGUCGGAGUCGCUAGUAAUCGCAGAUCAGCAACGCUGCGGUGAAUACGUUCCCGGGCCU
rnacentral:rRNA from 1 species